UACGGAGGAUCCAAGCGUUGUCCGGAUUUAUUGGGUUUAAAGGGUGCGUAGGCGGACCAUUAAGUCAGAGGUGAAAGUUUGCAGCUUAACUGUAAAAUUGCCUUUGAAACUGGUGGUCUUGAGUACAGUUGAGGUGGGCGGAAUGUGUCAUGUAGCGGUGAAAUGCUUAGAUAUGAUACAGAACACCGAUUGCGAAGGCAGCUCACUAAACUGUAACUGACGCUGAGGCACGAAAGCGUGGGGAGCGAACAGG
rnacentral:rRNA from 1 species